rnacentral:rRNA from 1 species
GGGGUGAUGGCCUACCAAGGCGACGACGGGUAGCCGGCCUGAGAGGGCGACCGGCCACACUGGGACUGAGAUACGGCCCAGACUCCUACGGGAGGCAGCAGUGGGGAAUAUUGCGCAAUGGGCGAAAGCCUGACGCAGCGACGCCGCGUGGGGGAUGACGGCCUUCGGGUUGUAAACCUCUUUCGACCGGGACGAAGAGAGAUUGACGGUACCGGUAGAAGAAGCACCGGCCAACUACGUGCCAGCAGCCGCGGUAAUACGUAGGGUGCGAGCGUUGUCCGGAAUUAUUGGGCGUAAAGAGCUCGUAGGCGGUGUGUCACGUCGAUCGUGAAAACCUACAGCUUAACUGUGGGCGUGCGGUCGAUACGGGCAUCACUGGAGUUCGGCAGGGGAGACUGGAAUUCCUGGUGUAGCGGUGAAAUGCGCAGAUAUCAGGAGGAACACCGGUGGCGAAGGCGGGUCUCUGGGCCGAUACUGACGCUGAGGAGCGAAAGCGUGGGGAGCGAACAGGAUUAGAUACCCUGGUAGUCCACGCCGUAAACGGUGGGCGCU